UGUUGGGAACAAAGGUUGUUGAAUUCUGUAGCUAAAUUUGUCAGUUGCUUGCCGGACUCUUCCUUGGCAGUGUUUGAGUCACAUCUGCGCUUUUUUCGAAGCGCACGAUUGAGUCAAGAGGUUGUGGUUGAGUGAACGUGUCGGAGUUCUUUCAGAUAGCAGAAGUGUUCGAAUGGGAUGUAGGAGUUUUGGUUCCACAGGUUUGCUCAUUUAUUACAAUCGACGACGACGACGCUCAUUUAUUACGAGUCAUUGCAACCACACAAUCUAGAUUUCAGUGCAGGUCUGUACUUCUGAUUUGCAAUUCAUCAAAGAAGAUUGUGAUAUGUGACUUACUAAGCGGUUUAGUUUACGCCUUAUCCUCACAGCCCUUGAAACGACGUUCCUGGGCGCAAUUGGGGGAUUAAGAAAGUUGCGACGAGAAGUUUUCGCAGCAAAGUUAUGUUGGGAAGUUCACAAGCUGGAGCUUUACAGACCUCUCCUUACUUGGACCAGUAUUUAAAACACAGUAUUAUCAGUAUGUAAACACAGUAUUUGCAGUAUGUAAAGACAGUAUUUACAGUUUGUAUUUGAUCACUGUAGAUAGUAUUUGUAGUAUUUUUAUAGUUUUAUAGUUAUAUCAAAUAUCUUUAUAUUUUUAUAUUUAUAGUUUUAAAGUUUUAAAGUUUUAUAAGAUAUAGAAUUUUACAAGAAAUAAAAUCGUUUUAUCAUUUUUUUCAUUUUAUAGUUUUAUAUAUAGAAAUUUUUAUUUUUAUAUUUAAUUUUUUUUAUAGUUUUUAUCUUAAUUUAUCUACAUGUAGUUUUUAUAUUUAUAUUUAUAGUUUUUAUAGUUCUUA